rnacentral:rRNA from 1 species
CUACCAUGGUGGUAACGGGUAACGGGGUGUUAGGGCACGACACCGGAGAGGGAGCCUGAGAAACGGCUACCACAUCCAAGGAUGGCAGCAGGCGCGCAAAUUACCCAAUCCCGACACGGGGAGGUAGUGACAAUAAAUAACAAUACGGGGUUCUUUCGGAUCUCGUAAUUGGAAUGAGUACAAUUUAAAUCUCUUAACGAGGAACAAUUGGAGGGCAAGUCUGGUGCCAGCAGCCGCGGUAAUUCCAGCUCCAAUAGCGUAUAUUAAAGUUGUUGCAGUUAAAAAGCUCGUAGUUGAAUUUCGGGGUUAGUAGGUUGGUCAUGCCUCUGGUAUGUACUGGUCUCACUGAUUCCUCCUUCCUUAUGAACCGUAAUGCCAUUAAUUUGGUGUUGCGGGGAAUUUGGACUGUUACUUUGAAAAAAUUAGAGUGUUUAAAGCAAGCUAACGCUUGAAUACAUUAGCAUGGAAUAAUGAAAUAGGACGUUCGAUCUUAUUUUGUUGGUUUCUAGGAUUGACGUAAUGAUUAAUAGGGAUAGUUGGGGGCAUUAGUAUUCAAUUGUCAGAGGUGAAAUUCUUGGAUUCAUUGAAGACUAACUACUGCGAAAGCAUUUGCNNNGGAUGUUUUCAUUAAUCAAGAACGAAAGUUAGGGGAUCGAAGACGAUCAGAUACCGUCGUAGUCUUAACCA